UAUGCUUUGUCAAGCAAUCAAGUUACAUGGUCUAACUGCAGAAAUGUAACAGAUAUAGUUUGUUUGGCUUUUAACUCACUAAAAAUGUUUAAACAUAAAAAGAGGCUUAGAACAUUUACAGUCAUAUUUGAAAUCAGAAUGUGUGAAAAAUGACUUUUCUUUUCAUAUUUGAACUCAUGCAAAACCUUUGCAGUCUCCACAAAGGCACGCAGAUGCAGCGAUGGGACCUCAUGAUGGAUUGUUGGUGUGAGCACAUGGACGUGAAACCAUGAACAGAGGAAUUUGCACAGGCCAGCAUUUGUGUUUCAUUCUGAAAGCCCAGCAGAAUCAGACCCCUAACUCUGGCUGGUGUUAAACAUGAAGGCAGCGUGCAGCUUUUCUCUUGCAUGGGUUCCCAUGUAGUACUGCUGACCUGCCUCACUGCAGCUACCCUGUUCAGGCCCUUGCAUGCCUUCAGGCUUUCCUUCCGAGAGUGCUUCUGAUGCCAGAGGGUUUUGGCAACAGUUGUAAUGUGCAUGAUUAUUUCCAGUGAGGAAACCAUUGGUGAUAACAGCAAUGAGGAGGUAUGUGGGUAUAAGCCACAGCUUGCUGAAGGCAUGAGACCAUUAGGGUAUGUAAGGAUAGGCUCCUGAUGCUGUCAGAGAGGAAGCGGCUCUGCACGUGAAAUAAUGUAGGGAAGGGAAUAUGCUAAACAUAGUUUAACUCCUGAGCUGCUCCCUGUGAAUAAAGUGUUUCCAAAAGCCUUCAGAUUCGGCUUGAGCUAGGUGCUCAUUCAGCUAAUGAAAACGUUACAUGCCCUCUGUCUAACCAACCUGAUGUAUUUGCUAAGCACUACAGCGAAAAGAGAUGCUUUUUGGUCACUUUUGUUGCCAUGUUCCCUGAUACCAAUGUUGACGUUAUAAACUCAAGCAGUAUUUUAAGUUGCUGUGAUCUUAAAAUUUUGUUUUCUUACGCAGCUGCCCAGGCCAGCUUACAUGCUGAUCAGGAUCUGCUGCAGCCUGGGAAUAAUCAGGCACCAGCUUCUUGGGCAGGCGAGUAAAUCCUUACUGACAUCAAUGAACUGAAAAAUUCUGAGGCCUGGCAGUGACAAAGGGAAUAGUGAAUGAGAGCAGUAUUUCUUUAUAUUGAUCUACCUUUCCUCAUCUACUAAUAACACUGACUGUUUACCCCCUGUAAUAAGCUGUGAUGGGUGCUAUGUGGGUCUUUGCUUUCCAGUUCUCCAGAAUCAGUUCACACAAACCAAGAAAUCUCCCAGUAAAUGAGCUGGCUAGGACUAGAUAAAAUUAAGUGUAUUAAUAUUGUUAAAGCUUGCAGUUCAAACUCUUGUUAGACAAAUUUAGACAUUGAUUUUAUACCUAAGAAUUCCUCUAACCAAUACUUAGUGUCUUCAACUCAGUCUCCCAGAUGGGAAGAGCAGACUCCCCGGAAGAGAAGGGAAGGGAUGGGUUCCCCAAAGCCACCUGGGGAACCUGGGCAGAUGCUGAUGACUUUGUCUUGAUCCAAAUCCCUUACUUUGUGGAGGAAAUUGGAGUUGAUUCUGUUCUUUGGAUUUCUGCUUUUAAUGGUACUUCUCGAGCUAUUUCUGUGCAUCAUCAAAGGUGGCAGUGUGUGAGCAAUUAAGCCCAAAAUAAUAUAAUUUUUCAUCAGUUUCUCAAUCAAGAUUUGGUAUGCUUUAAAGAUACAGGACUGUUUCUGAGAAGCACCUAAAUACAGGAUGAUUUUAUAGCCUGAGGAAAGUGCAGAGUGUGACAAGUGGAUGCAACUGAAGUUUGUAAGAUGAUGGAAAAAACUGUAAGGAACAAGGAUUUAAGAACUCAUAGUGUGCAUCCACACAACACAUAGUUAAACUGUGGAACUCAAUGCCCCAGGAUGUUGUGGAUAUAAAAAUUGUCUAUGGCCUUAAAAAGUGAUGAUGAAAAGUAAUGGUUGAAAUAAAAUAAAAAUCCAUCAAGGAGUACAAAAGCCAAAGCAAGAUACUGACUCUGGCUCAAUUAAUGAGAGCUGCUGAAGUCAAAGCCAGGAAGCUGAGCUGUGGAGGCAGUGGUAUGGAGAUUUUCUUUUGUGAUCUCUUUCCUAAGUGCCUUCCAGUGGAGAAGGAAAUAUGUCCUUCCUAAACAAGAUGCUUGGUCUGAUCCUUAUACAAUAGAUUCUGGCACAAGACUGUGUAGGUACUGGUAUGGUCCUGAGCAAUAGGUUGAUGUUAAGUGCUCCUUGAAUGUCAGCUGUGCUAUGCUGUUUAGCACACGAGCUUUUUGCAAAGAUCCUUAAAGUUCAUGCCAUUGGGUUGGCACAGCAGUGGGGCAGCUGAGGGAGAGCCCAAGAUAUCUCAGUAUUCAUUACUGGCCCACUGUCAGAGAUUACUGUCCUCAAUCCCCAAGUGCCAUCCUUGCCAUCCAGAGUACACUUUUAAAUGUGUCUUAAAUUACAGCAAUUUCUGAGGGUUUUUGUAAUCCGGUCACAGAUGCACAAACUCCAUCCUCGCAAGUCCUUUAUACGCUAGACCUGGCGAAAUACAGGCUGGCCAGUCAAGAUGAGAGGUCACUAUGCAAACCCUACCCCCACCCCUACUCAUUUUACCUUUAUACAGUUUGUGGGUGCAGUAGGAGGGUCCUGUGAGAAUGCUGUUGCUCCCCUCCUUUUCAUGCUUGGAGGAUCCAGCAUUUUCCCUGGGGUGCUCUCUCAUGGUCUGGAUUUCAGUUGGAACAGGACAGGGAGGUUGAAGACAUUAAAAACUAAGGCAGAAUGGGAGCCUGCAAAGAGCUAAGUCCAUGCCAAGAAUAGAGGCAAAGUGAGGCAGGCUAAAUCAAAUGUAUCCAAGAAAAUUUACACGGAUAUGUCUACCAAGGAAAAUACACACAUUAAUAGAAGCAGAGAUUUAGGUGAAUCUAAGGCAACUGCCUUAAAUUCACCACAGUUGCCUUUCCAGUAGUUCACUGGUUUUCCCCCACAGUAGUCUCUCAUGUUUACUUUGGCAUUUGUAGGGAAAAUGUCAGCGGAGUGCUGCUGUGAGUGUGCCCUGCUGUAUGAUGUUGAGCUGUUCCAGUACCACGGCAGCUAUUUUCCAACAGAUUAACAUUCAGAUACUGGGAGAGUUCAUCCAGUUCACAUAAAUCUGCAUAGAAAUUUUAUUAACUUAUAGCUUCUAUUUGGUGGGCCACCUACAAAAUGAAAACAGAUCUCUUGCAUUCUUGUAAGAUAGAACAGGCAAAAUUAAAAAAAAAAAAGUCCAUGAAAACAUAUGCCUCACUGAAAAAAUGAAAGUACUGAUCUUUCAAACAGUGGCAUUUGCGUUCCCAGCGCCUCUAAAUAAAAACAACAACUUAAUUGUCUACUUACUGGAUUCAUUUUUUCCUUGUUUGCACUGAGAAACAUGCCAGCGGGAAGGAAAAAUGGAUGUGAGCAAAAUUAAGGCACUGGGUUGGCACUUGGGAGAUCUGGUUUCAGUUCCUGGCUCUGUCAAACACUUCCUAUGUGACCUUGUAAAUGUCACUUUUGAGCAUGUAAAACCAUCUGGCCUGAUCUAGUGAAACAUGUAUUUAAUUUUAAGAUGCAAGUAGUUCCACUUACAUCUCACACGCCGAAAUUUAAAGACAUGUUUACAUGCUGUGCUGGUUGGCAGCCACAAGGCACGGCCACUGCCAGGGCGGAGCGCUGCCCUGCUGGCUUCAGGAUCCCGAUUUUGUCCCUUUUUGCCCCAGGUUUGUCAGGGCAGAGGCAGCCACCCUCCUGCUGAGUGCAGCACCAGCACGGUGAGCUCUCGUGCUCAGCACAGGAGUAAUACAAAUAAUUCACACUGAGGAAAGCUGUGGAUUCAGAUGCUGUUGUUGUAAAUAAAAUCUGCAUUUAGGCACUGAAAUAGUGGCUUGAUUUGUUAGAGUUGCUGAGCAACCAAUGCUCAUAAAGUCAAGAGCCCAUGAACGCUUUGUACUUCAGAAAAUCAGGUCAGUCAUUUGGAGGCUAAAAACAGAAACUGAACCCCAAUUUCAGUGCUUGAAAAUCUGCCCUCGUAUAUCUUCAGGUGUACUCUGAUGCUCUGUCCCUUGUCACUGUAACCAGCCGUACCCACAGACACUGCAUAAAGCUGAGAUGCAGAAGUAAAAAUAUCAUCAUUUAACCAUUUUGUUGUUCUCCAAAUGUAAUUAAAAAGACGAGUUCCACUGAGACGUUCUAAAUAUAUGUAUAUAAUAUACAUAUGUGUAGACACAUGUUUCUAAUGUAAAUGGUAUAUAUUAUGUUAUUUUAUGGCAGAGCAGAUGUUUCUUAAUUCCCUCCCACCGCACACUGAAGCAAGAUUAUGCCAGGCUAUUUUAUUGUGAAUAAUGUGCUUGCUCCGUCAUUAAGAGGGUUAUUAAAGACAUAAACAAACUUUUAUGCCCUGCUUUUCAACAGCUGCUGGUGGUCUACAAAGUGAUAAUCCUGCUUUCAGCAAAUAUUCUUAGACUUAAAAAUAAACAAGGAGAAAAUAAAUACGCCGCACAGGCACCCGGGCUGACUUGUGAGUGGGCAGAUCCGAAGUGUGACAUCUCAGUGCCAUGGAGGUGGAGGUGGCACUGCUUCUGAGCCAAAGCCUCAGACUGUGGGCUGGAAAUGAGAUGAGUGCUCCGUGCAUUGCCCCUUCCCUCUGCCACACGGGAACUCCUGUGCUAAGCAAAUGAGCCCGACUGGCAUUUAUUUCAGUGGUGAGAGCAGGAGAGCAACAAUUUAAAAGCAAAAAAGCAAAUGCUGGCUUUAAGGAAACAAACAAACAUCUUGCAAAAAUACAGCGUGCACAAUAGCUGUUUUUUUCCUUCCUAAUUAAUUAUGUGGCAGAGACACGGCUGCAGAUCCUGUAGCCUUAGCUUUGAAGAAAAUCAGCUGAGUACGUUUAAUAACUUCAAACAAAAGGGUAGGACGGGACAAUAAAGGUUACGUGGCCGUGUUCCGUCACAGGCGCAAUUGCUGUUCAUUUAAACGGAUGUGACCCCUACACGACAAAUCUCCAAAGGUGUACGGGGAAGAAGGUUUAUUCUUAUAAAUAGGACCGAUGCCAGGUCAAGCAGGCCCCCUCACUUUGGACUUCCUAAAGAAAACAGCUUCAGACAGCUGAGCAAAAGAGUUAUGGAGAGUGCUGAGAUAGGAAAUAUCCACGGUUCCUGAUAUAUUAUGGUUGGCCCAGGAAGCAAGGAAGCUGAGAGCCAAAGGUAGUCCUAAAGGUGCUAAACUGCACAGCGCUAAUGUACACAACAACAUCCUCAUACAAGCAGAUGUUUAAAAAAAAGAAGGGGGAGGGGGGGCUGGGAAUGGCAUUUAGGCCACGUUGCACUCACCCUAGGGAGGAAAACUAAAAAAAGGGGAAUGUGGAACCAAUUUUCAAGCUUGAGCAACUGAAAGUCUAUUAAAUGAUUCUGUCAUCAACAUGAGAUGAGAAAAAAAGUAAUAAUUUAUACAACAAAUUGGGUAAUUGUAGCUGCACGGACAAAUGAUAUUUCUUCCCUGAUAACUGAAUAAACAUUGUUACAAGAGGAAGGUUAUAAGGAAAUAGCCACUUUGGUGAACUACAAGCACCAGGUCUCUGCUUCUGUUCGUGUCAGACGACAGGCACUGCAGGCUGAAGGGCACAACGCUCUGAUCACAAACAAAUAUUCUGAGCUGCUUAGGGGAUUUUUUUUUCAGAAAAUGAGCUGAUAAAGAUGGGCUCAGCUUCAUGUAACUACAAGCAAUCUCAGCCCGAUUACUGCAUCAUGUCAAAUUUAAAUCAGUCUAAUUCUCUUGAAGAUACAGCAGCGUAAACUGGAGGAAUUAACAGCAGUAAUGUGCCUUAUUACCACUUAAUUCAUUUACUGAAACUAUUAUUUUCUUAAAGGUAAACUGCAUAAAAAGCAACAAAACAAACAGGACAAACCUGGAGUGGGCAUGUCCAGAAACCACGCCAUGGGAUUGCCGUGGGAGCAAUUCCGUGAUGCUGGGCUGUUGGGUAGAACCUUCAACUGAGCUCUGGAUACGGUAGCGGCCAGCCAGGGCCGCACCUGAAGCACACAGGCAGUCCAGCAGCCGGAGCACAUAUGGGAGCACAGGCACGGCAGCCACAUUCCAGAGCUUCAGGGCUUUGGCGCUGUAUUUUCUUUUCUGCCACAGCCUUCCUGCGGGACACCUGUGGCCUUUGCAUUGUUCUGGGCAGACCUGUGCGGGGUUGUGCCUCGGGGAGCAGCCCAAGCACCAGCAGCCCUUCCUGCCGGGUCACUGCUGAGAGCAAGCCCUUAAACAACGCACCCAGCCCAGGGACUCACAGCAUGUAGGCCUGGCCUCCAAACUUGUUAGCCCUCAGACCGAGGGGAAGGUUGCAUAUGUUUCCUUACAGGGCUCGUCUAAAGCACAAACACAGUUAGAAACUCACCUUCCAUGGGAAAUGGAGGGGGCUGUGCCGGUGCAGAGCCACACCAUGUGGCCAUGAAGGUGCCCGGCAGUGGCUUGCUUAUGGCUGCACAGUGGAAUGGAAAGGAUUGGGAGCACAGGGUGUUGGAUUGCUGUGGGCUGUUGGGUCGCUGGGGAGUCAACGGGACACAGGCUGCAGGGGCCACAUGUGCUGAAAGGCCAAGGGCCGGCUCCUCUGCUGCAGGCUGGGCCUUGAGGAGCUGAACAAGAGGAGGUACAAAGGAACACGGGGCUGUGCUAGGAUUGGUUUCCUGUUUUAUGUCUUUCUGCAUAUCCACUCUAUCCAAAUGCAGGCAUGUGUGUAAACAGCGCCAGUCCCCCAUGCCUGAAAUGAAAAAUAAUAAAAAUAUAUUUACAUGACUUUAACAUUAGGCUAUUAGAAAGCAGCAGUCAGUAUAACAGAGAGGAGAAAAAAUUACAAAGAAUGAUUUGCAUAGCAAACGCAUUUCACAGUUGUUUUGGACAAAUGCCCUCGGUAAAUAUGUUUAAAGUCAUGUACAACAAGAAUAUUUUAUCACAAGUAACCAUGUUUUAAUAAACACUUCGUCUUUUGGUAUUUCAUUCUUUCUCAUCAUAAUAAUAGAAAUAUAACACCAUAUAUCACUGUAAAACACAUUUCCACAUAAAUGCUGAUAAGCACAAAAUAUUUUUCAUCAUUUACAUUUUAACUGUAAUAAUAUAUGGCAGGAUUAAAGCUGCAUCCAUCAUGUGUCUAACUAACCUUGCUGUAAUGAAUUUUUAAAUGUAAUGGUUUCUGUCACAAAGUAAAAUCAUACAUAAUAUCUUUUGACACAGUAUUCUGGCAGUACGCGAGGUUUUAAAAUGUAAAUGCAACUUCAUUUUUAAUUAGAUUUAUAAACUCUAAUCGCUAUUUUCUUUUCUAUAAACCAAAGGGGGAAAGAAAAAACGUGGGGCUGCACAAAGCCUGCGAGUUCUUCCUUUUGGAAGCGGGCACGCACCCAGGAGGAGGGAGCAGGAACAAAGGCCAGGCACCGCGCACCCACCUCGUGCCACCACCAGGAGCCGGCCAGCGGAGCUGCAAGGACAGCAAGGACAGCAUGUCCCCAGCCCUUGCCCAGCGCAGCGAACAGCCCGGCUUGGAGAGGAGAAUCAUUAAAAAUAAUUUGCAGGAGCUUUCUGUUCAGUGAGCCCUUUUUUUUUUGAUACAAUAUUUCCUUCAGUGAUUAUCGCCACGGACAUGUUCUGCCAUAUGGAUGGAGCCGGGCGAGGAGGCGGCUCAAUACCUGAGUGGUUAAUUAAGAGCUGUUGCUGGGCCACAAGAAGCAGGUUUGAAAUCCCUCUUCACUCACCGACAAUGAGUAGCUUUUUUAGCAGCAGCAGUCACUGGGGACAGCCAGAAGCGCAGGGUAAUUAUUUGAGAUAACAUAGAGCUGAAGAGCGCGUGUGCGCGCCCAUGUGUGCGAGGGGGAGCCGCGCCGGCAAGGAGGGCAAUGCUACAGAAAGUUUACAAUACAAAGGUCAACAUCUCCUAUUUUUCUGUACAGUGUCGGCAGUCUGUAAUGCCUUUUUAGAGUGAAUGACAAUGGAUUCUAUCUUUUUUUUUUUUCCUCUUAAAAAAUGAAUAUCUUAUUUGGUAUUCAAACUUCGCAACUGUGAGCGUGGGGCAGCUGGGCCAACCUGAACGAGCCAUGCUCACGUUAUUGGCGCGGAUGAUGAAAUGACUUUGAUUGCCUUGUUGCAAAGUAGCAGUAAUUCCAACAUUAACUCAUGGAAACACUGCAUACUCUCAAGAACAAAGGAGAAAAGCGGUGAAACAAAAGCCAUGAAUGAACUGAAGAACGUCCUUAACACAGACGUUUAGGGCUAAAUUCUCAGCACACUGCCACAGGAACAGCAGAGACUGUUGGCUUUAACCAGGGGACUCACCUGAGUCAGAUGAGUGUCUGGGCUUUGGCUACCACAUUGUUUGUGGUCAGGGGCACCUGGAGGUACCACUGAGGCCCUUCAGAACAUCAGUGUUCUCCAGCAGAGAUGUUCAGGGAUGCUCUUGUAGCAAUGCAUCCUGCUCAUUAGUUCUCCCAAAUGACAAAAAGCAGCAAAGUAGCUUAUAAAAGUGUUAUUUUCUACAGUGCUUCAUCUCUGAAGUGUUUAUGAAGUGCAGGACCAAGGUGCCAUUCCAGCCUACCACUGCCCAGUAUUCAGAUAGAAAGCAAACUAUGAAGCAGUGCACUGAAGUCCAUUUCAUUUCUCAGAGCUGCAGAGAGUAUGAGCAUCUGUUCUCUAACCAUCAAAGCUCAUCUACAUCAGGAGCUCAGAAUGCUAUUUCCCUGUUUGUUUGUGUGUUUCUAAGAAGGUCUUUCUACUCCUUUACUGAGAAGCCAAAUGAUGAAACCUCUGUCAUGUGUUUUUGGCAUUUCCAGAAAAUCCCACAUGUGAUUUCCAACUUAGGAGGCUUAAAUCUCCAUCCAAACAGGCGCUGUGUGCAGCUCACACAAGCAUUUAGCUUUGUGCUGUAGGGUAAAAAUAAAUUCAAGAGAGAGAACCUUCAUCUUCCUCCUCUCUACCUCCAUUUUCACAUCCUCCCAGAUGCUGGGAACAGCUCACCCAGAAUGACAGGAGACUUUGAGCAGAGGCAAUGGGAGGACAUGCAGUUACUGGGCAUCAACCAAAGCCCCAGACUAUCUGUUGGAGGGGGACAAGGCGUACCUGUGCCCCUGCUCUUUCCCAAGGCAGAUCUUGCAACCUUUGAUGUUCCUCCAGUGCAAACAAUACCACUCCAGCAGCGGCACUUUUGCCAGUGUAACUGUCUCAGCUUUGUUUAGAGACUGCCCAAUAUGUUAAUUAUCUUCUUUACCUCGGUGGCAUUAUACUGUCAAACCAUACAACAGUCUUUAGAAAAUAAAAGCUAACACCCUAAGCUGCUGUACCCGGAUCCCAUAAUAUCUAUUCACUGACAAUGCCUGAGCUGUCAGAUCAGAAGAAGCUUCAUUCGAAUAAAGGUGGGCAGAUGUGUGAUAAUGAGACAGAAGCAUACAGAUGCUAAUAUAACUGUUCAGCAGAGCAGGCUCGUCUUCGUUAGGCAGACCCAGGUAGCAGCUGCAGACUGUCAGACACUGGAAUGCUGCUUUCUCUUGAUUCUCAUUUAAGAUCAGCUUCGUUCGCUGUCUGUCAGUGAACUUUUCCCUCACAGGAGCCUGGACCCCUAGGUGAUCAGUCACAUUUCGACAUAACUAGAUGUCAAAAGAAGUUUAAGUUGUAUGACGAACUGUGAUGCAUUCCCUGUGCUGGCUGGCAGUCUCAGCCCUCCAAGGCGUCUUGUUAAUGAUCCACCUGGAAACUCUAGAGUAUUUCCCGUAUUUUGUUUUCUUAUUAAAAUACUGGCUAAGCCUUUGUCAAUAUCCAUGUCAGCAACUGUAAGCUCAAGACAAUAUUAUCACAAGCAUAAUUUGAUUUAAAAACAGAGCAGUGGACCGACACUGACCAGGUGGCAGGAGACGCACACGGAGAGAGCAGGAUGCAGGCGUUGAGCUGCUGUGAUUUAGCAUCAUCAAUUAAAACAAAAUAUUGCUGAUUUUCUCCUGGGCAGAAGCAGGGAAAAUGUAACUGAAGUUGCCCUAUGCAAUACGUCUGCAGCCAGGCAGCCAGCUCCACUGAUGAACACAACCAGGAAUAAGAUAAUGGGGAGCCUCCACAGAUGAGCACACAAUUCAAAUACGCAGGAGCUCGGAAACACAAAUAACCCGAGACUGUCACUGCACGUACUGCUGGAACCUUUCAACCAGGAGUCUCAACUCUGGCAGCCUUUCAUCUGUUGCUCAGAGCUGUUUACCCGCUCACACUCCUGUUUCAGAGAGCAGACAGGCUGAGGCUAUUUUACAUAACGUACACACGUGCCCACACAAUGCAAACUCUACUACCACAGUUGUGCAGCAAGGCCAAAUAUCGCCUGCUGCUCAGUCGUGUCAUACCAGUCUUCACAUUCCAUCUCAACUCCCCUCCUUGCUUCUCAGCAUUUGAAUUUCAACCUUA
rnacentral:lncRNA from 1 species